AGAGUUUGAUCAUGGCUCAGAACGAACGCUGGCGGCGCGCCUAAUACAUGCAAGUCGAGCGAGAAGACGUAGCAAUACGUUUGUAAAGCGGCGAACGGGUGAGGAAUACAUGGGUAACCUACCCUCGAGUGGGGAAUAACUAACCGAAAGGUUAGCUAAUACCGCAUACGGCUCCUGGUCUGCGGAUCGGGAGAGAAAGCGAUACCGUGGGUAUCGCGCUCUUGGAUGGGCUCAUGUCCUAUCAGCUUGUUGGUGAGGUAACGGCUCACCAAGGCUUCGACGGGUAGCUGGUCUGAGAGGACGAUCAGCCACACUGGCACUGCGACACGGGCCAGACUCCUACGGGAGGCAGCAGUAAGGAAUAUUGCGCAAUGGGCGACAGCCUGACGCAGCGACGCCGCGUGGGGGAUGAAGGUCUUCGGAUUGUAAACCCCUUUCGGCAGGGAAGAUGGAACGGGUAACCGUUCGGACGGUACCUGCAGAAGCAGCCACGGCUAACUUCGUGCCAGCAGCCGCGGUAAUACGAAGGUGGCAAGCGUUGUUCGGAUUUACUGGGCGUACAGGGAGCGUAGGCGGUUGGGUAAGCCCUCCGUGAAAUCUCCGGGCCUAACCCGGAAAGUGCGGAGGGGACUGCUCGGCUAGAGGAUGGGAGAGGAGCGCGGAAUUCCCGGUGUAGCGGUGAAAUGCGUAGAGAUCGGGAGGAAGGCCGGUGGCGAAGGCGGCGCUCUGGAACAUUUCUGACGCUGAGGCUCGAAAGCGUGGGGAGCAAACAGGAUUAGAUACCCUGGUAGUCCACGCCU
rnacentral:rRNA from 1 species